GAUGCCAGGGUGCAGAAAGUCAUACAUCCCAUGCUUGCAUGGGAAUGGAUGACUUUGGCGCCCGCGAAACAUGAGAAAGUAGCCAUUUUUCACAGAAAAAUGUGCGAAUUUCGAAUGUUUCCAGGAUUUCGGGAGUGCGCAGCACGGAGAAAUCCGCAGGCAUC
rnacentral:sRNA from 1 species